GGGUAAGCUCCAGGAGAGCUGGGAUUUUUGGUUUUGUUUACCUCUGUAUCCCCAGCCAUGAGUUUGGUGGCUGGGAUGAUGAAGAGAACAGUGGCAGAAAGAAUAAAAGGCAGUACAGACUAUGAAUCAAGCGAGGUAGCUGUGAAAUUGGACAUCUCACGGGAUCUCAUUUUUUUGCACAGUAUUUGAAGCAUACAGCUAGAAAAAUAACUGGAGGAAGAUACUCCUGACAAUUAGUAGUGAACAACACAUAUACAUUAAGUGCAGAUAAACACAAAGAAACAGGCCUGAAGAGCAUAGACCAAAUGACUGAAGGGUUACCUCAGGAAAGGAAUGGGGCUGAGCAUGGAUUGGUAGGUAAAUGGG